GCUGAAGAUCAUAUCACCCUGCAACUCACAUCUGGCAACCCACUGAAGCUCAGCAGGUGUGAGCCUGGUCAGUACCUGGAUGGGAGACCUCCUGGGAAAACCUAAGGUUGCUGCU
rnacentral:rRNA from 1 species